rnacentral:rRNA from 1 species
GAUGAACGCUAGCGGCAGGCCUAACACAUGCAAGUCGAGGGGCAGCACAGAAACAGCAAUGUUUUGGUGGCGACCGGCGGACGGGUGCGUAACGCGUAUGCAACCUACCUUUAACAGGGGGAUAACGGAGAGAAAUUUCCACUAAUACCCCAUAACAUCGAUCAAGGCAUCUUGAUUGGUUGAAAACUCCGGUGGUUAAAGAUGGGCAUGCGUUGUAUUAGGUAGUUGGUGAGGUAAUGGCUCACCAAGCCUACGAUACAUAGGGAGACUGAGAGGUUAGCCCCCCACACUGGUACUGAGACACGGACCAGACUCCUACGGGAGGCAGCAGUGAGGAAUAUUGGUCAAUGGGGGCAACCCUGAACCAGCCAUGCCGCGUGCAGGAAGACGGCUCUAUGAGUUGUAAACUGCUUUUAAACAGGGAUAAAGCACAGUAUGUAUACUGUGUUGAAGGUACUGUAAGAAUAAGGAUCGGCUAACUCCGUGCCAGCAGCCGCCGCAG